AACGCUGGCGGCGUGCCUAAUACAUGCAAGUCGAACGAGUUCUGAUUAUUGAAAGGUGCUUGCAUCUUGAUUUUAAUUUUGAACGAGUGGCGGACGGGUGAGUAACACGUGGGUAACCUGCCCUUAAGUGGGGGAUAACAUUUGGAAACAGAUGCUAAUACCGCAUAAAUCCAAGAACCGCAUGGUUCUUGGCUGAAAGACGGCGUAAGCUAUCGCUUUUGGAUGGACCCGCGGCGUAUUAGCUAGUUGGUGAGGUAACGGCUCACCAAGGCAAUGAUACGUAGCCGAACUGAGAGGUUGAUCGGCCACAUUGGGACUGAGACACGGCCUAAACUCCUACGGGAGGCAGCAGUAGGGAAUCUUCCACAAUGGACGCAAGUCUGAUGGAGCAACGCCGCGUGAGUGAAGAAGGCUUUCGGGUCGUAAAACUCUGUUGUUGGAGAAGAAUGGUCGGCAGAGUAACUGUUGUCGGCGUGACGGUAUCCAACCAGAAAGCCACGGCUAACUACGUGCCAGCAGCCGCGGUAAUACGUAGGUGGCAAGCGUUAUCCGGAUUUAUUGGGCGUAAAGCGAGCGCAGGCGGUUUUUUAAGUCUGAUGUGAAAGCCCUCGGCUUAACCGAGGAAGUGCAUCGGAAACUGGGAAACUUGAGUGCAGAAGAGGACAGUGGAACUCCAUGUGUAGCGGUGAAAUGCGUAGAUAUAUGGAAGAACACCAGUGGCGAAGGCGGCUGUCUGGUCUGUAACUGACGCUGAGGCUCGAAAGCAUGGGCAGCGAACAGGAUUAGAUACCCUGGUAGUCCAUGCCGUAAACGAUGAAUGCUAGGUGUUGGAGGGUUUCCGCCCUUCAGUGCCGCAGCUAACGCAUUAAGCAUUCCGCCUGGGGAGUACGACCGCAAGGUUGAAACUCAAAGGAAUUGACGGGGGCCCGCACAAGCGGUGGAGCAUGUGGUUUAAUUCGAAGCAACGCGAAGAACCUUACCAGGUCUUGACAUCUUUUGAUCACCUGAGAGAUCAGGUUUCCCCUUCGGGGGCAAAAUGACAGGUGGUGCAUGGUUGUCGUCAGCUCGUGUCGUGAGAUGUUGGGUUAAGUCCCGCAACGAGCGCAACCCUUAUGACUAGUUGCCAGCAUUUAGUUGGGCACUCUAGUAAGACUGCCGGUGACAAACCGGAGGAAGGUGGGGAUGACGUCAAAUCAUCAUGCCCCUUAUGACCUGGGCUACACACGUGCUACAAUGGAUGGUACAACGAGUUGCGAGACCGCGAGGUCAAGCUAAUCUCUUAAAGCCAUUCUCAGUUCGGACUGUAGGCUGCAACUCGCCUACACGAAGUCGGAAUCGCUAGUAAUCGCGGAUCAGCACGCCGCGGUGAAUACGUUCCCGGGCCUUGUACACACCGCCCGUCACACCAUGAGAGUUUGUAACACCCGAAGCCGGUGGCGUAACCCUUUUAGGGAGCGAGCCGUCUAAGGUGGGACAAAUGAUUAGGGUG
rnacentral:rRNA from 1 species